AUUGAACGCUGGCGGCAUGCUUUACACAUGCAAGUCGAACGGUAACAGGCCGCAAGGUGCUGACGAGUGGCGAACGGGUGAGUAAUGCUUCGGAACGUGCCCAGUCGUGGGGGAUAACUACUCGAAAGAGUAGCUACUACCGCAUACGACCUAAGGUUGAAAGCGGGGGACCGUAAGGCCUCGCGCGAUUCGACCCGCCGAUGUCAGAUUAGGUAGUUGGUGGGGGAAAGGCUCACCAAGCCAACGAUCUGUAGCUGGUCUGAGAGGACGACCAGCCACACUGGGACUGAGACACGGCCCAGAGUCCUACGGGAGGCAGCAGUGGGGAAUUUUGGACAAUGGGCGCAAGCCUGAUCCAGCAAUGCCGCGUGCAGGAAGAAGGCCUUCGGGUUGUAAGCUGCUUUUGUACGGAGCGAAACGGCUCUGGUUAAUACCCGGGGUUAAUGACGGUACCGUAAGAAUAAGCACCGGCUAACUACGUG
rnacentral:rRNA from 1 species